ACUACGGGAGGCAGCAGUGAGGAAUAUUGGUCAAUGGGCGAGAGCCUGAACCAGCCAAGUCGCGUGAAGGAUGACUGCCCUACGGGUUGUAAACUUCUUUUGUCAGGGAGCAAUUGAGUCCACGUGUGGGCUUAGCGAGAGUACCUGAAGAAAAAGCAUCGGCUAACUCAGUGCCAGAAGCCGCGUUAUUACGGAGGACGCGAGCGUUAUCCGGAUUUAUUGGGUUUAAAGGGUGAGUAGGCGGAAUAUCAAGUCAGUGUGAAAAAUUCGGGGCUAAACCCCGUCGUGCCGUUGAAACUGAUGUUCUUGAGUGGGCGUGAAGUAAGCGGAAUGCGUGGUGUAGCGGUGACAUGCAUAGAUAUCACGCAGAACUCCGAUUGCGAAGGCAGCAUACCGGCGCCCAACUGACGCUGAAGCACGAAAGCGUGGGUAUCGAACAGGAUUAGAUACCCCUGUAGUC
rnacentral:rRNA from 1 species